rnacentral:rRNA from 1 species
UACGUAGGGUGCAAGCGUUGUCCGGAAUUAUUGGGCGUAAAGAGCUCGUAGGCGGUUUGUCGCGUCUGCUGUGAAAUCCCGAGGCUCAACCUCGGGCUUGCAGUGGGUACGGGCAGACUAGAGUGCGGUAGGGGAGAUUGGAAUCCUGGUGUAGCGGUGGAAUGCGCAGAUAUCAGGAGGAACACCGAUGGCGAAGGCAGAUCUCUGGGCCGUAACUGACGCUGAGGAGCGAAAGCAUGGGGAGCGAACAGG